CACGUAGGCGGUUUGAUAAGUCAGAUGUGAAAGCCCAUGGCUUAACUGUGGAAGUGCAUUUGAAACUGUCAGACUUGAGUACCAGAGGGGAAAGUGGAAUUCCCGGUGUAGAGGUGAAAUUCGUAGAUAUCGGGAGGAAUACCGGUGGCGAAGGCGACUUUCUGGCUGGAUACUGACGCUGAGGCGCGAAAGCGUGGGGAGCAAACA
rnacentral:rRNA from 1 species